UCCCUGAGAAUGGCAGAAGAACACAAUGACUAUGUCUUGGGUGGGUGGUUACUUCCAAAUUCUUGAAUGUGCCAGAUACCCUCAGCUUGUCCUCUCUAAACACUCAGCUAGAAAGAUCCCGUCUUCUCUUACAUAGGCUGAAGUUCAGGGGAAGAGAGCAGAAAUUCCUCAUUCAUAAGGGAAGGGGUUCAGAAUGUGCCACCCUAAAAUAUGCCACUUUGACAUAGGAUCAAUUUGAGCUGGAGACAGCUGAGCAGCAGGAAAAAGGAAAGCAGGACGUAAAUUGGCAAAGACAUCCCCCUUCCCUCUGCCACUUCGGACAGCAGCUGGUCAUCGGCACGACUCGGGGCUGGGAGCUGAUGUGGUGGUGAAUGGAGAGUUGCCAUUUGAUGGGGACAGAGAUUCAGUUUUGUAAGAUGCAGGAGCCCUGAAGAUGGAAGGUGGCAUUGGUAGCACAACAGUGUGAAUGUACUAAUGCCACUGGACUGCAUGCUUCAAAAAGCUGAGAUGGUUUGUUUUGAUGCUGCUGGUCACUGGGAAGCCAGUCUAUCUUUGGAAACCCCGAACGCGCCAAGCACGUUUCCCUCGCAGUCGGCCCGGCCUUCUCCGACGCCCGCGCAGCUUACCUGCCACCACACUUCAGUGAUCUCCGGGUACAAAUUUGCCAUACAGGUUCUUCCUCUUCAUGACUUUGGUGAAGCAAACUGCCUUGUUGGAGAGGGGCAAGGGACUAAGGGUGGCCACCCCCUUACAGGCAGCAAGGAAUGAGGUCCUCAGUCCAUUGACCCUCAAGGACCUGAAGUCUCUCAAGAACUACUGACAUGAGCUUAGAAGUGGAUUCUUUUUCAUUUGAGCCUUUAACUUUUUCA